rnacentral:rRNA from 1 species
UACGUAGGGGGCAAGCGUUGUCCGGAAUUAUUGGGCGUAAAGCGCGCGCAGGCGGUCAUUUAAGUCUGGUGUUUAAUCCUGGGGCUCAACCCCAGUUCGCAUCGGAAACUGGAUGACUUGAGUGUAGGAGAGGAAAGUGGAAUUCCACGUGUAGCGGUGAAAUGCGUAGAGAUGUGGAGGAACACCAGUGGCGAAGGCGACAUCCUGGACCAACACUGACGCUGAGGAGCGAAAGCCAGGGGAGCAAACGGG